rnacentral:rRNA from 1 species
UACGGGGGGGGCAAGCGUUGUUCGGAAUUACUGGGCGUAAAGGGCUCGUAGGCGGCCAACUAAGUCAGACGUGAAAGCCCCGGGCUCAACCUGGGAAUUGCAUUCGAGACUGAAUAGCUAGGGUACGGUAGAGGGAAGCGGAAUUUCCGGUGUAGCGGUGAAAUGCGUAGAUAUCGGAAGGAACAUCAGUGGCGAAAGCGGCUUCCUGGACCAGUACCGACGUUCAGGCACGAAAGCGUGGGGAGCAAACAGG